UGCUUGCACCUUUUGGUUAGCGGCGGACGGGUGAGUAACACGUGGGCAACCUGCCUGUAAGACUGGGAUAACUUCGGGAAACCGGAGCUAAUACCGGAUAAUCCUUUUCCUCUCAUGAGGAAAAGCUGAAAGUCGGUUUCGGCUGACACUUACAGAUGGGCCCGCGGCGCAUUAGCUAGUUGGUGAGGUAACGGCUCACCAAGGCGACGAUGCGUAGCCGACCUGAGAGGGUGAUCGGCCACACUGGGACUGAGACACGGCCCAGACUCCUACGGGAGGCAGCAGUAGGGAAUCUUCCGCAAUGGACGAAAGUCUGACGGAGCAACGCCGCGUGAGCGAUGAAGGCCUUCGGGUCGUAAAGCUCUGUUGUUAGGGAAGAACAAGUAUCGGAGUAACUGCCGGUACCUUGACGGUACCUAACCAGAAAGCCACGGCUAACUACGUGCCAGCAGCCGCGGUAAUACGUAGGUGGCAAGCGUUGUCCGGAAUUAUUGGGCGUAAAGCGCGCGCAGGCGGUCCUUUAAGUCUGAUGUGAAAGCCCACGGCUCAACCGUGGAGGGUCAUUGGAAACUGGGGGACUUGAGUACAGAAGAGGAAAGCGGAAUUCCACGUGUAGCGGUGAAAUGCGUAGAGAUGUGGAGGAACACCAGUGGCGAAGGCGGCUUUCUGGUCUGUAACUGACGCUGAGGCCCGAAAGCGU
rnacentral:rRNA from 1 species